ensembl:lncRNA
AUGAUGGUUGUGCAUGUAGGAGACCUAGCCUUCUGUCACCAAGGAAACAGAAAGCAGAGGAGGAAUGUGACCGUGGGAGGCUGCAGGCAAAAGUGAUGUGGGGCCACAACUGUACCUGGAAGCUACAUGCCUUGCUUCCCAGUCCUGAGACUUGAAGAGCACAGAGGAAGGCCUCUUGUAGGUCAGUCACUGGCUCUGGACCAUUGACCACUACCACUGCUUUUACUUGGGAUGGUGUUCAAAUUGUGGGAUGUCUGAGAAAGCUGGGUUCCACGUUUUUGCUAUGCAACCUGUUCCUCACGUCCUGGACUUUGCCGGCUCCAGUCCUCAGGUACUAUCAUGGAAGCCAUUACUCUCUCCACAGUCCUGUCAUUCUUACCCACAAAUAGUAAGGAUGUAGAUUCACUGUAGAUGUGAGCACAGCUUGUAAACUGUCUAUGUGAAUUGGUGUCAUCUGUCCUUUUGUCAGUUGCCAUUCAGUAAGCAUUGUGACGUGUAAGGCUCUCAGGAGAAGCCAGAUCCCAGUGGCAUUAGUGUGACAAACAAGCUGUGCCCAAGGAGCUGACACUCUGGCAGAGUCCAGGACAUCCAGGAAGACAGAGGUGGUGAGAUAUCACCAACUAUGACUCUGACAUCCAAUGAAGCAGUCGAGGGCCAUGAUGCUUUUCUGACUGAGGCAACACAGCCUGGAGCCCAAAUCCCGAGGCUGUGCACCAAAGUCCUUCCGUUUGUCACUGAUCCUGGUGCUUUCCCACAAGAAGUUGCUCAAUGUGGCUACCAGGGAGGCCAAACAUAAGCCUGUGUCUGCAGACAGGAGGGCACCAACAAUGUGUCAAGCAACCUCAUCUGCAUCGUCACAAGCAUCUGCAGUGUGGAUAUCUGGUCAACAUGGUCGUUUGACAGUUGUGGAG